rnacentral:misc_RNA from 1 species
CGGUAUAUCGACGUUUUGCGAUAGUCUACGUACGAAAAUACGCCUCAUAGAUAUUAUUUUAUGUUGAAAAGAAUUAUAAUUUAUGUAAUUAUAGCAUUUUUCGUUUAAUUUCCUUUUGUUUUCAAUUAAUGUUCAAAUGUCCGUAUUGAUUCAUAUCAUGAAAUGUUUCCUCAGGAAGACAGACUUUCUUAAUUAUCGCCAUUGUUUUGACUGAAGGCGUCAAAAAAGCAAAUAAAAUGCUUUAGAAUAAUAUCCCAGACACAUUUCUCCUGACAACAGUGCUUUUGCUUUAUUCUGAAGAGAAGAACUAACAUAAACAAGUACAAAACUAAACAUACUUGAAGCUUUGCUAUUUGUGAAUGGUCUUUUAAGGUAUACCUUGAAUUCCUAUGUUUCUGAAUUCCCCCUACUGUUGUAAUAUACCUGCAAAAUGGUAUAUGAACAAGCUUACCUGGAUCAAGACCAUGGCUCUCAAGCAAUGACUGUCCUUUGUGAAUUAUGGAAAAAACAAACUCUCUGUGAUGCUACUGUUCAAGCUGGAUCAUAUAAGAUUAAAGUUCACAAGACAGUGCUAAUGGUGGCUAGUCCAACGUUGUUGGCGUUGUGUCAGAAUGGACCUUGUGAAGGACAUCUUCAAGUUCAAUUACCAAUUAAUCUCCGUGGUGUGGAUGCUCUUCACUGUUUUAUAAUGUAUCUUUAUGAAGGACUCCUAAAUUUAAAUGAAGAGAGUGUAAUGGAGGUGCUUAAUAUAGCAUCUUAUCUUCAAGUAGAAACUGUAGUAAAAUUUUGUCUCUCUUUCUUGGACUCUGCAAAGGAACAAAAUGUUGUACUUAAAGCUGCUCUCUCCUCUCCAUAUGACACUUGUUUGUAUAAAGUACUUAAUGAAUCAUUAUCCAAAUCAUCAGAAUCAAUCACUAAUAAAAAUAGUAAUUGGGUUUACCAACCUGAAAGUACCAAUAUUAAAACUAAAAUCAUCCAUAAACCUGUCAGUUUGUCCUCAUCAGAAACAAGCAUUGUUAUUUCUGAACGGAAAGAUAAAAGCUUUUAUGUUGAAAAUUUAAAUUUCAAGGGCAACUCACUUUCCUCUUCUCAGGCUGGAGAAAGUUCUUCAUCUAAGAAUGUUUCUGAAGCUUCAAAUGAAGCCGUCCAAAUACAGUAUAAUAUAAUUGAUGAUGAAAUCAAACCAAAUAUAGCACCCCAGAAUUCUUCAACUUCUGAAAACUUUGUAGUACAAGAAAUAUCAGAAACAUACUCAUUUUCACAAAAUAACAAUCAUUCUUCUCCCUCAUCUGAUUCUCAUUUAUUAAAAUUAAAAGAAACCAAUCAUAAAGUUGACUCAAAAUUGCAUCAUAGUGAUCUGGUCCAUGACAAGCAAUCUAGUCCACUGUUGGAUCAAAAGGGUGAAGAUGGUCAGAGUAUUGCUGAUUAUUCUUACAAAAUAUCCUCAUCCCCUGAAAUGUCAAGGCAAGUACGUAUAAAUACAUUAGAUGAAAGUGACUGUAACACUGAAGAAGUACUUUCAUUAGAGCUUAGUGGCUGUGAUCUUUUAUCAUCUCAGAUACAACCAAAUUUGCCAUCCUCUGUCAAUUUACUUGAGUGCCCCACAUGUAAAAAGACAUUUUCAACUAAAGGGAACUUGAAGACUCACCAGAGGAAGCAUGAAGGAACACUUUUCAAAUGUCCUCGAUGUCCACGAAAAUUCUUCAGCCAAAGUCUUCUGAAUGAACAUCUUAAAAUUCACGAUGGGAAAGUUUAUAACUGUGAUCACUGUGGGAAAGAGUUUUUUACCAGAUGGGGUAUAAGAUUGCAUCAGAUGUCUCAUGACGGUCACUACAAAAUGACUUGUAAGAUAUGUGGGCGUGGUUUCAAUUCCCGAAGUACUUUCGAAGCUCACCAGAAUAUGCAUGAAGAUAACCGACCGUAUAGGUGUGAACAUUGCAGGAAAUGUUUUUAUAACAAUCGAUAUCUUAAAAAACAUUUAAAGAUUUGCAACAUUCCCUUAAAAAAAUUAUAAAUGUAAUUUAUUCAUCAAGAGAAUUCAAACGAAAGUGUUACUCUUGAAGAACAUUUGGAGAGUCACAACAACCAACAAAAGCACUGAUUGCCUUCUCACAUUUUAUUUUUUUUUUUGUUUUCCAGAGCUCCAUUUAAUUUCAUUCAUAUUCUCUAAAAAGUUACUAUCAUCAGAAAAGGAGAGCUAACCCUUAGCUCCUCUGUUCUAUUUGCAUCUCAACAUCCAAACAAUAUCCCUGCUUGAAGGGUCACACUUGAUAACAAGUACAAUCUCUCCUCUCCUAUACUGUCAUUAGCUCUCCUUUCUGUUCUUGUAUAUUCCAAAAGCACUAAUUUAACUUAGAAAAAUAGAUUAGUGUGCCUUGUGUAUAAUUGGUUACCAAAUAUGGAGUUGUUUAAACUUAUUUCAUUAGUGACAGCCAUUGUACCUGACUUACCAAUUCUGUUUACGGUUGGUGCUGAGUGUGUGCAGCAAUCCUAUUGAGGUGGAAUUAGAGAGUAGUUCAUCUCCAACGGUCUAUG